rnacentral:rRNA from 1 species
AUUGAACGCUGGCGGCAGGCUUAACACAUGCAAGUCGAGCGAGCGGCGGACGGGUGAGUAAUGUCUGGGAAACUGCCUGACGGAGGGGGAUAACUAAUGGAAACGGUAGCUAAUACCGCAUACCUUCAGCUGUGCCCAGACGGGAUUAGCUAGUAGGUGGGGUAAAGGUUCACCUCGGCGACGAUCCCUAGCUGGUCUGAGCGGAUGAAGAGCCACACUGGAACUGAGACACGGUCGAGACUCCUACGGGAGGCAGCAGUGGGGAAUAUUGCACAAUGGGCGCUAGCCUGAUGCAGCCAUGCCGAGUGUGUGAAGAAGGCCGUCGGGUUGUAAAGCACUUUCAGCGAGGAGGCAUUACUCACAGAAGAAACACCAGCUAACUCCGUUCCGGCAGCCGCGGUAAUAC